GCGCCUAUAGCUUAAUGGAUAAAGCAGAAGUUUCCGGAGCUUUUAAUAGGGGUUCGAUUCCCUUUGGGCGCG
rnacentral:tRNA from 1 species